rnacentral:miRNA from 1 species
UAGGGCUACUACACCAUCCAUAAG